UCCCUGGUAGUAUAUCGGUUAGUACACGCGCCUGUCAUAUAUGAUUCCAUGCAUCUACACAGACGCGCGAAAGCUGGGUUCGACUCCCAGCCAGGGAG